rnacentral:rRNA from 1 species
CCAUUUUAACAACUUGAGCUCCUCGGGCUCUCUAUCUUUGUGUGUGAAUCUCUGCGCGGCCGGCGUGUGAAUGGGAUGUUUCCCCCGGUAAGGGGCAUCCCCUUUCAAGGUCCGACUUCCUUAACUUUUUUUAAUUUUUUUNUAGCUCAGGAUGAACGCUGGCGGCGUGCCUAAUACAUGCAAGUCGAGCGAACUGAUUAGAAGCUUGCUUCUAUGACGUUAGCGGCGGACGGGUGAGUAACACGUGGGCAACCUGCCUGUAAGACUGGGAUAACUCCGGGAAACCGGAGCUAAUACCGGAUAACAUUUUYUCUUGCAUAAGAGAAAAUUGAAAGAUGGUUUCGGCUAUCACUUACAGAUGGGCCCGCGGUGCAUUAGCUAGUUGGUGAGGUAACGGCUCACCAAGGCAACGAUGCAUAGCCGACCUGAGAGGGUGAUCGGCCACACUGGGACUGAGACACGGCCCAGACUCCUACGGGAGGCAGCAGUAGGGAAUCUUCCGCAAUGGACGAAAGUCUGACGGAGCAACGCCGCGUGAGUGAUGAAGGCUUUCGGGUCGUAAAACUCUGUUGUUAGGGAAGAACAAGUACAAGAGUAACUGCUUGUACCUUGACGGUACCUAACCAGAAAGCCACGGCUAACUACGUGCCAGCAGCCGCGGUAAUACGUAGGUGGCAAGCGUUAUCCGGAAUUAUUGGGCGUAAAGCGCGCGCAGGCGGUUUCUUAAGUCUGAUGUGAAAGCCCACGGCUCAACCGUGGAGGGUCAUUGGAAACUGGGGAACUUGAGUGCAGAAGAGAAAAGCGGAAUUCCACGUGUAGCGGUGAAAUGCGUAGAGAUGUGGAGGAACACCAGUGGCGAAGGCGGCUUUUUGGUCUGUAACUGACGCUGAGGCGCGAAAGCGUGGGGAGCAAACAGGAUUAGAUACCCUGGUAGUCCACGCCGUAAACGAUGAGUGCUAAGUGUUAGAGGGUUUCCGCCCUUUAGUGCUGCAGCUAACGCAUUAAGCACUCCGCCUGGGGAGUACGGUCGCAAGACUGAAACUCAAAGGAAUUGACGGGGGCCCGCACAAGCGGUGGAGCAUGUGGUUUAAUUCGAAGCAACGCGAAGAACCUUACCAGGUCUUGACAUCCUCUGACAACUCUAGAGAUAGAGCGUUCCCCUUCGGGGGACAGAGUGACAGGUGGUGCAUGGUUGUCGUCAGCUCGUGUCGUGAGAUGUUGGGUUAAGUCCCGCAACGAGCGCAACCCUUGAUCUUAGUUGCCAGCAUUAAGUUGGGCACUCUAAGGUGACUGCCGGUGACAAACCGGAGGAAGGUGGGGAUGACGUCAAAUCAUCAUGCCCCUUAUGACCUGGGCUACACACGUGCUACAAUGGAUGGUACAAAGGGCUGCAAGACCGCGAGGUCAAGCCAAU